GAUGAACGCUGGCGGCGUGCCUAAUACAUGCAAGUCGAGCGAACAGACGAGGAGCUUGCUCCUCUGACGUUAGCGGCGGACGGGUGAGUAACACGUGGAUAACCUACCUAUAAGACUGGGAUAACUUCGGGAAACCGGAGCUAAUACCGGAUAAUAUAUUGAACCGCAUGGUUCAAUAGUGAAAGACGGUUUUGCUGUCACUUAUAGAUGGAUCCGCGCCGCAUUAGCUAGUUGGUAAGGUAACGGCUUACCAAGGCAACGAUGCGUAGCCGACCUGAGAGGGGGAUCGGCCACAGGGGAACUGGGACGCGCUCCAACCCCCUAGGGGAGGCAGCAGUGGGGAACUUUCGGGAGGGGGCGAAAGCCUGCAGGGGCAACGCGGGGGGAGUGAUAAGGGUCUUCGGAGCGUAAAACUAUGUUUUUGGGGAAGAACAAAUGUGUAAGUAUCUAGCCCCGUUUGAACGGUACCAAAAAAGAAAGCCACGGCAAACUCGGU
rnacentral:rRNA from 1 species